GACGAACGCUGGCGGCGUGCUUAACACAUGCAAGUCGAACGGAAAGGCCUGCUUUCCCUUGUGGAUUGCGGGUACUCGAGUGGCGAACGGGUGAGUAACACGUGAGUGAUCUGCCCCCAACUUGGGUAUAAGCCUGGGAAACUGGGUCUAAUUCCCGAUAGGACUGCAGGGUGGUGCCUGUGGUGGAAAACGAUUUUCUAGUGGUUGGGGAUGAGCUCGCGGCCUAUCAGCUUGUUGGUGGGGUAAUGGCCUACCAAGGCGGCGACGGGUAGCCGGCCUGAGAGGGUGGACGGCCACAUUGGGACUGAGAUACGGCCCAGACGCCUACGGGAGGCAGCAGUGGGGAAUAUUGCCCAAUGGGCGGAAGCCUGAUGCAGCGACGCCGCGUGGGGGAUGACGGUCUUCGGGUUGUAAACUCCUUUCGACCGCGAGGAAGCCACCUGGUUGGAAGGGUGGUGACGGUAGUGUUAGAAGAAGCACCGGCUAACUACGUG
rnacentral:rRNA from 1 species